rnacentral:rRNA from 1 species
CCUACGGGAGGCAGCAGUGGGGAAUCUUGCGCAAUGCGCGAAAGCGUGACGCAGCAACGCCGCGUGGAGGAAGACGGUCUUCGGAUUGUAAACUCCUUUCAGUUGGGACGAAGCUCAACGGGUUAAUAGCUCGAUGGAGUGACGGUACCUUCAGAAGAAGCCCCGGCUAACUACGUGCCAGCAGCCGCGGUAAUACGUAGGGGGCUAGCGUUGUCCGGAAUCAUUGGGCGUAAAGAGCGUGUAGGCGGUCCGGUAAGUCCGCUGUGAAAGUCGGGGGCUCAACCCUCGAAUGCCGGUGGAUACUGUCGGGCUAGAGUGCGGAAGAGGCGAGUGGAAUUCCUGGUGUAGCGGUGAAAUGCGCAGAUAUCAGGAGGAACACCUAUUGCGAAGGCAGCUCGCUGGGACGUUACUGACGCUGGGACGCGAAAGCGUGGGGAGCAAACAGGAUUAGAUACCCUGGUAGUCCACGCUGUAAACGAUGGGCACUAGGUGUGGGGGGUGUCGGACUCCCUCCGUGCCGAAGCUAACGCAUUAAGUGCCCCGCCUGGGGAGUCGGCCGCAAGGCUAAAACUCAAAUGAAUUGACGGCUGAGACGNGCGAGACGACGACGAGGGAGGAGG